CUUCACUACCAGAGUCUCUGUUUCAUGUGUUCUAAUACCUAUGUGAGAAACACAACUUUUAUUUUCUCCCCAUCCUGGUAAGAGGUAUGAUCUAAUGACUGCCUGUGUCUUCUGUUGACCUUAUGCUUGGCUUUAGAAGGGAAUUACCAGAGAGGAGUCAUCGAGGGAGACAGCUUUGAGAGUCCAUGUCCUCUGAUGACAUAAUUCAUGGAAAUAGGAGUAAAACCAGGAAGGCCAUUUGUGAAUGGAUGUAUUUGCGAGAGGAUGAGAGUGUGAAUUGUCUUGGAGUGUCUUGAAGGUGGUGUGUAAAAUACACUCAGCUCAGCUCAUGUGGAACUAUUAAAAGUUGCUCUUAUAGAUCGUGCCAUAAAUAAAACAGGGUUUCAAACAGUACAACACACCCUUUUGGAAGAGUGGACAAAUGCAAUCUCUAUGCCAUAAUGAUACUGUGACGAAGUUGUCUGGGUAGCCUUCAGGAAAGAUAAUGUGAAGAUACUUUAUGGAUGAAUUAUGUAUCAAUUGUUUUCCUGAAGAAGAGAAUAUAGUACAGAUGAACUUUAUUUAUGACUGGAUUUCUUUA